rnacentral:rRNA from 1 species
AUACGGAGGGUGCAAGCGUUGUUCGGAAUCACUGGGCGUAACGGGCGCGCAGGCGGUUUGAUUAGUCAGAUGUGAAAGCCCGGGGCUUAACCCCGGACGUGCAUUUGAAACAGCAGGACUUGAGUAUGGUAGAGGAAAGCGGAAUUCCGGGUGUAGCGGUGAAAUGCGUAGAUAUCCGGAGGAACACCAGUGGCGAAGGCGGCUUCCUGGACCAAUAUUGACGCUGAGGUACGAAAGCGUGGGUAGCAAACAGGAUUAGAAACCCCGGUAGUCC